rnacentral:lncRNA from 1 species
UAUUCCUCCAAAUAUUGUCAAAGAAUUCUUGGGGAGGACGAGGAGGCAGUGGAAUCUCCACAGCCAGGACACCAUUAAUCUUCUCUCCCUCAGAAUUCAAAUUCUCCUCUGGAUCACUCCACAAUUCAUAAUCAAUCACAGAAUCAUCACUGUCAUAGUCAUAGUUCCAGAGCUCAUACACUCCCCCAUCCUCACCAUCACUGUCCUCAGGCAGAUUGAUAUUCCACACUGGACGGGGCCUCUCAUACUCAGAGUCAGAAGAGGAAUAUACAUCUUCCACAUCACCAAAAUAUUCCAGAGCCUCCACAUUCAUAUUCUGCUUCCUCAGCUCCCUCAUUCUCCUAAGGUUCCU